UUGGUGACCAGCGGAGGGAUCAUUA
rnacentral:rRNA from 3 species